rnacentral:rRNA from 1 species
AGGAAUGUAUAGCAAUAGCUAGUUGCAUCAUUUUAAUGAUGAUGCAAUAUUGACUAUGUUGAAUAAAAUUCUAGGUAGAAUUAUGAUAAUGACAUUGUCUGCCUAUGUGUCUUGACCAAAUUACGUGCCAGCAGUCGCGGUAAUACGUAGAAGACUAGUGUUAUUCAUGUUUAAUCGGUUUAAAGGGUACCUAGACGGCAGAUCAAGCUUUCCGAGAGGAAAAAAAAAAAGGACUAAUUUGCUAGAGUUACUUACGAGGGGGCUUUAAAGUACUAAUGGUGUAGAGAUGAAAUUCUGUCAUACCUCUUUUCGAAAGAAAAAAUAUGGCACAGGUAUAGGCGAAGGCAUCCCCUUAUGUGAUAACUGACGUUGAGGGACGAAGGCUUUAUAUAAUGAACAGGAUUAGAUACCCCAGUAGUGGAAGCAGUAAAUGAUGAAUGUCAUAGAUUAGCUAGAUAGGUUCAUUCUAUAAAUGAAAGUGUAAGCAUUCCACCUCAUGAGUAAUUUGGCAACAUUGGAAUUGAAAUCAUUAGACCGUUUCUGAAACCAGUAGUGAAGUAUGUUGUUUAAUUUGAUGAUCCGCAAAAAACCUUACCACAAUUUGAAUAUUUAUAUUUUUUAUUGUUUUCUUAUUAAUUUUCUUCUCUAUAUUAAAGAAAUUUAAUGCAGAGGCAAUAAUAUAUAUUUACAAGCGUUGCACGGCUGUCUUCAGUUAAUGUCGUGAGACUUUGGUUAGAUCCAUUAAAUUAACGUAAACCCUUACUUUAUUUUUAGAUAGAGUUGUUCUCCACUAUAUUGGAUAAGAU